AUAUCAAUAAGCGGAGGAAAAGAAACCAACAGGGAUUGCCUCAGUAACGGCGAGUGAAGCGGCAAAAGCUCAAAUUUGAAAUCUGGCACCGUUAGGUGUCCGAGUUGUAAUUUGGAGAGGAUACUUCGGGUGUGGCUACGGCGUAAGUCCCUUGGAACAGGGCGUCAUAGAGGGUGAGAAUCCCGUCUUAAGUCGUUUGUCCAUGCCCAUGCGAAGUUCCUUCGACGAGUCGAGUUGUUUGGGAAUGCAGCUCUAAGUGGGUGGUAAAUUUCAUCUAAAGCUAAAUAUUGGCCGGAGACCGAUAGCGAACAAGUAGAGUGAUCGAAAGGUUAAAAGCACCUUGAAAAGGGAGUUAAAUAGCACGUGAAAUUGUUGAAAGGGAAGCGCUUGCAACCAGACUCGGUCAUAGGGGCUCAGCGAGCAUGCGUGCUCGUGUACUCCCCUGUGUUCGGGCCAGCAUCAGUUCUGGCGGUUGGUUAAAGGCCCUUGGAAUGUAUCGUCCUCCGGGACGUCUUAUAGCCAAGGGUGUAAUGCAGCCAGCCGGGACUGAGGAACGCGCUUCGGCACGGAUGCUGGCGUAAUGGUUGUAAGCGGCCCGUCUUGAAACACGGACCAAGGAGUCUAACAUCCACGCGAGUGUUCGGGUGUUAAACCCGUGCGCGCAGUGAAAGCGAACGGAGGUGGGAGCCCUUUAGGGUGCACCAUCGACCGAUCCUGAAGUCUUCGGAUGGAUUUGAGUAAGAGCGUGGCUGUUGGGACCCGAAAGAUGGUGAACUAUGCCUGAAUAGGGUGAAGCCAGAGGAAACUCUGGUGGAGGCUCGCAGCGGUUCUGACGUGCAAAUCGAUCGUCAAAUUUGGGUAUAGGGGCGAAAGACUAAUCGAACCAUCUGGUAGCUGGUUCCUGCC
rnacentral:rRNA from 1 species